rnacentral:rRNA from 1 species
GACGAACGCUGGCGGCGUGCUUAACACAUGCAAGUCGAACGGAAAGGCCCUGCUUUUGUGGGGUGCUCGAUUGGCGAACGGGUGAGUAACACGUGAGUAACCUGCCCUUGACUUUGGGAUAACUUCAGGAAACUGGGGCUAAUACCGGAUAGGAGCUCCUGCUGCAUGGUGGGGGUUGGAAAGUUUCGGCGGUUGGGGAUGGACUCGCGGCUUAUCAGCUUGUUGGUGGGGUAGUGGCUUACCAAGGCUUUGACGGGUAGCCGGCCUGAGAGGGUGAACGGCCACAUUGGGACUGAGAUACGGACCAGAAUCCUACGGGAGGCAGCAGUGGGGAAUAUUGCACAACGGGCGGAAGCCUGAUGCAGAAACGCCGCGUGCGGGAUGCUGGGCUUCGGGUUGUAAACCGAUUUCGACUGUGACGAAGCGUGCGUGACGGUAAUGGGUAAAGAAGCAACGGCUAACUACGUG